GACAAAUAUACUGAGAAAUUCUGGACCAGGCACUGGCUCCUGAGGGAGGAGGUCUAACACUCAAACAGAUGUAAUCCCUGGUGAUUAUUUUCACUGCAAGACAAACUUUACACAUGAUGGAAAAUGAGAACAACCAGUAACAGGAGAGAGAACAUCUUGUGCUCCUUAACAAUGUUUGUGGGGGUGCCUGCUCAGCCUCUCCUCAGCAAACUGUCCAGGAUGCCAACAGUUGAUAAAACACAGGUGAGUGCCGACAGAACACCCAAAACUGUCUACCAGGGAGUUCGCCCCUACCUGACAAUGCUAACGAAGACAUCCAUUGGCCACAACUAACAGCUUAAGACUAAAGGCAUCAGCUUGAGAAGAACUUCAAGAAAAGCUUCAAAAUUUGUGAUAGUGGGGAGAGAGAAGAAAGCAACAGAGAAGAGUCAAAACCUGUUUUGACACUGUCAGAAAUCAUCUCACUGACAUUGCAAUCUGUACCUUGACCUUACUGAGAAUCGUUCCAUCAGAUGCCACGGGGACAUGCAUCUAGCUUGAGAAAUGACAGUUUCGGUGCAAGAGAUAGAAAUCCACACUUCUGAGGUACAUGUCUGAAGUUGAGGUUGGUGCUUUCUCCUGAGAAUAUGUUUUAUUAUUUUGUAGAGACUGUCAUGAGCACAUGUAAGCCUAGAACCUACACCUCCAACAGAAGGAUACAGAAAUAGAGAAAUCCUCAUUUCAAAGAGGGCAGGGGAGUGUUGUUGGGGUGGAAUCCGAGGAGAGUAUAUGUGUGACUGUGUGAAGGUCUUGGGAUUUUUAUAGAAGGUGAUUUAGAAAUGUCUAGGUGUUUUAAGUAUUGAACAUUACAUUUUGCCUUCAUGAAUGCAUAGUUCACUAACUGCUGGUUAGUUACAUCUUAUUAAUAAAUCUAACAGCUCCAGUUUUGACUAUAUUUACAACACAGGGAAAGGGUAGAUUUUUUUCCCGCAAUGUUUUUUUCUGAAUGCAAUCAAUCAAUUAAUUAAAAAAUUUGAGUAGGCCUUUUGUGACUAUGUAUGCCCAUGCACAGCUACUUGGCAUAACUGGAAGGAAAGAAUAUUUAAUUUACCUCUCUUUUCAAGCAAUAUCUUUUAGAGCAGUUGAAUUAUUUCUAGUUAAUAAGACCAGUCAGAAUAUAGCUUCAGUCAGUUCAGUCUGUGGCUUGCAAUAAGAAUUUUGGCUAUUAAUAACCUAAUUUAAAAUGUGAGGGGAGUUUGGGUCUUGUUUUGUGGUGUUUUUUUGUUUGGUUAGUUGGUUUUCUUUGCGGAACUUUUUCUUUUGUUAUGUUUUGUAUACAGCUUGAAGGAAUGAAGUUAUUCUGUAUUAUGUAGUAUUUUCCUAUAUUUGUAUUCCUAUAUGUACAAUCUUUUGUACUUUGCUGUAAGUGUAUUUCAUUUUCUUUAUUUGAAAGAAACUAAAAGGGAAUUCUGUUAUUUAGAACAACAAAAUGGUCAUGGGAAUAUUGUUGAGAUUUUAUCUACUUCAGUGUCUGGGAAGACUCAUGACUUCGUUCUCCAGCUGCUGGUGGCUAAUAUGGAGUAAAAAUUUUGAGACUAUGAAGCCGGGCUGUCAUCUGGGGUUGGGUGCUGGUUUUACAAUGAUUUUGUUCUUGUCUGAGUACCUGAUGGAGCAAUGACAGGGGUUAAAAUUACAGGGCAGAUGAAUGUCUUACAAUUUUUCUAGCAGAUAAAUUUCAUUCUCUAAUCAAUGGCAAUGCGAGUAUUUUAUUCAUAGACCAUAUUAAAGAGGAGGAAUAAGGAUGACACCUACCAUUUGGCUUAACUCAGUAUUAACAUAUUUUGCCAUCAGAAAGUGGAUCAACAUCCCACAGAAAGUAAAAAGCAACAUGAUCCAUUUCUGCCACAUUCUGAGCUUUCUGAACUACUAAAUCCAACCUGCAGUUUCUGUCAGUCUGUCAUAGAAUAGUUAAAUGGUGUUCCAGCCCCCCUGUCAUGGACAGGGACAACUUUCAGUACACCAAGUUGUUCAGAGCCAGAGCCAGCCUGGCCUUGAACACUUCUUUUAAUCCACAUCUUUUUAUCCACUUUAAACUUGUCGAUAUCUUGCAUACAAACAAAAAUAAAUUUUUUCAAUUAAAGUAAAUAUUACAAACCCCCAAAAUCACUUACCUGCAAAUGCAGAUCUCUGCCUUCUCUAAAAGAACAAUAAAAUGGUCACAACUACAGUUUUCAGUUUGCUUGAAAUGACUGAGAGUUAUGAUCACUAAGUAGACUCCAUACUUGGCAUUUUACAAGCCUGAACUGCUCCAUAGAAAUAGUAGGGCAACCUAAAAUAGUGUAUGUUUAUCGAAUCUAUAAAUUUACAUAUUGGUUUGUCUCAUUCCUCUGAUAGGAACAUGUGGUCAAUAAGUAGAGAUAUCAGUAAGUUAGUAAACAAGAAAAAAAAGAAACAAUCUAUUUUUUAAUUUAACAGUGAAAGUAAAAAGUGAUAGUGAGAACUGCAGAAGAAUGUAAUUUUUCCACAGAGAAUGAAAUAAUUACAAGUCCCGUUGACACACAGGGAUCCAUGUUAAUUAUAAAAAUGUGAGAACAAAGUAAUAAAACAGCUAAAUGGUGAAGAGUUUUGACUGUAUCAUAUUAGAUAUGCAUCUGCUAGAUCCACCUUAAAAUAGAGGAGGUAAAAAGCGUUAGUUCAAUUUUGGCUUGAUGAGGAUAUUUGAAUGCAAAUACCCCCGAAAAAAAAAACUUGUCUGAAAGGUAUUUUGAAACCGCAAAUACACUAAGUGGCCCACAAAUUUCCGAAUAUUUUUGCUA